rnacentral:lncRNA from 1 species
AAACAAGUGACAUAAUGCAGGCAUCCUUAAGCUUCCCUUCCUCAAGUUACCCUUGACCAGAUGAUGCUCAGAGGCGUGACACACUCCCUGGGCUUUGCCAGGACAUAGGAGCAAGGCCUGGCUGCUUGCUGUCACUCCAACCCUUCUCCCCUUCCCAUAAAAAAGAACGGAUGCCAGUGAGUGAAGAAGCCAUCAUGGAGAGGCAAAGGAAACAGAAAGAAGCCUGGGACUAAAAUCUAGGAUGAGCGUCAAGGAGGAAAGCGACAGGGCAUUUCCCUUCUCUGUGACAGAGGGACUCAAGCUGACCAACCAUCCUAGUUUGCCUGGGACUGUUCCAGUUUAGUACCCAAAGUCCCUGGAAACCACCCAGUCUUGGACCAACUGGAGCAGCUGGUCACCUAGCAGGUACUUGCAUCAGCUACUGUCUUACGGAAUUCUUGGCAAAGCAACUUUCUCUGAGCUGCUGGGGCAGUGGCAGAGGACAGAGAAGCAUCUGAACACCCCAUGACUCUCCAUGUCCCUGCACAGUCACUGGGCUUUGGGGGCCCGGCAUCUGCGAAUCUCUCCAUCCUUACCUGUCACCAUUCUCCAUGUCAUUCUUCAUUCCAACCGCCCUUGUGUCAUUUCAGUUCCAUAAAUAUGUGAAGCUCUUUCUAGCCUCAGGGUCUUUGCACAUGCUGUUCCCUCUGCCUGGCACGCUCCUCCCAGACUCCUUUCACUUUGGAUCUGAUGUCACCUCCCCCAAGGGCCCUCUCUAGCAGUCCUACCUAAGGCAGGGGUCUCCUGUUAUCUCCUUUCUCAGCGGCUGGUGCUUUGCUUUAGAGCGCUCACCACCUGCAAGCCUGUCCCUCUCUUUCUGGCUCAAACCAGACUGGACCUCCAGCAUCACGAGCGCAGAGCUGACUCAGUCUAGCCCAGCCUCAUAGUCUCAGGGCCGUGCCCAGGGCCUGGCACACAGUCGGUGUCCAAUAGAUACUGCUCAAGUGCAGCAAUGUCAUGCUUGAGGCCUGUGAAUCAUGCAAGGAACCCAUUCCCCCUCAAACCCACAGAGCGUAUUUAUCCACGGUUUUCACAGCAGUCCCCUCUUCCCAUUCCGGGUCAGAGGUCACAGAUUGGAAAUUCCUUUCGGCCAC